rnacentral:lncRNA from 1 species
AUUGGGAGUAGAGAGUGGUGGAGAGAAAGAGAGAAGGUCAGAGAGGUCAGUAAAGUCCAGACCAUGCACAGCUUCAGGUCAGGUGAAGAAUGGGAAGCUAUUGGCAGAUUUUAAGCAGGGGAAUGUCAUGAUCUAAUGUUUUCAAAAGACCACUCUAGCAGGAGUGUGGUGGAGUGAGAGUGGGUGUGGGAAGAGCAGUUAUAUGACCAUUUAAGCGAUCUUAGCAGACAUGAUGGCAGCUCUGCAAUGAAGACCAGGAGAUGAACACGGGAUACAUUUUGGAGUUGUAGCUGAUCGGGCAUACUGAUGGAUUAGAGGGGGGUAGCAGUAAGCAAGGUAACUGCACUGGGGAAAAGAUUAUAUCCAAAACUUUUGGAUUGCUCGACAUUAGAUGUUAACUCUGAGCUAAUACUAAUUUCCAGGGACCCAGAAUGAACUUAUCAAUGGAUAUCAGAUUGAAUAGAGAAUGCCACCAUGUGAAGUGAUAUUUGAGCUGGAACCUGAGUGAAUGAUGGAAUGGAGAAGUCAGGUACAGAGCUGUGGGGAUAGCAUCACAGGACUGAACAGAAGUAGCUGUGCAACCACCACUAGAAGCCUUCUGAGCGUGUUACUGAAGAGGAUGAGGCAGGAGGCUUCCAGAGGCAACAGCCAAGACUAAGCCAUCAACCACAGGGCCAAACCCAGUAAAAAAG